rnacentral:rRNA from 1 species
GGCAUGGCGCGGCUACCAUGCAGUCGAGCGGUAGAGAGGUGCUUGCACCUCUUGAUAGCGGCGGACGGGUGAGUAAUGCCUAGGAAUCUGCCUGGUAGUGGGGGAUAACGCUCGGAAACGGACGCUAAUACCGCAUACGUCCUACGGGAGAAAGCAGGGGAUCUUCGGGCCUUGCGCUAUCAGAUGAGCCUAGGUCGGAUUAGCUAGUUGGUGGGGUAAUGGCUCACCAAGGCGACGAUCCGUAACUGGUCUGAGAGGAUGAUCAGUCACACUGGAACUGAGACACGGUCCAGACUCCUACGGGAGGCAGCAGUGGGGAAUAUUGGACAAUGGGCGAAAGCCUGAUCCAGCCAUGCCGCGUGUGUGAAGAAGGUCUUCUGAUUGUAAAGCACUUUAAGUUGGGAGGAAGGGCAUUAACCUAAUACUCUAGUGUUUUGACGUUUCCUACCGAAUAAGCACCGGCUAACUCUGUGCCCGCCGCCCCGGUAAUACCGAAGGUGCAAGCGUUAAUUCGAAUUACUGGGCGUAAAGCGCGCGUAGGUGGUUCGUUUAGUUGGAUGUGAAAGCCCCGGACUCAACCUGGGAACUGCAUUCAAAACUGUCGAGCUAGAGUAUGGUAGAAGGUGGUGGAAUUUCCUGUGUAACGGUGAAAUUGGUAAAUAUUCGAAGGAACACCAGUGGCGAAAGCCACCACCUGGACUGAUACUGACACUGAAGUGCGAAAGCGUGGGGAGCAAACCAGAAUAAAUACCCUGGUAGUCCACGCCGUAAACGAUGUCCACUAACCGUUGGGAGCCUUGAACUCUUAGUGGCGCCGCUAACGCAUUAAAUUGACCGCCUGGGAGUACACGCCGCAAAGUUAAAACUCAAAUGAAUUUACGGGGGCCCGCACAAACGGUGGAGCAUGUGUGUUUAAUUCCAAGCAACGCGCAAAAACUUACCAGUGCUCUGACAUCCAAUGAACUUUCCAGAGAUAGAUUGGUGUGCUUCUCGGAACACUGACAUCAAGUGCUCCAUGGCUGUCCUCUACCUCGCGUCUCGAGAUGUUUUGGUUAAGAUCUCGUAACGAGCGCGACCCUUGUUCUCUUAUAUUUCCCGCACGUAUGGUCGGGGAUCUUAAGAGACUCUGCCCGUGACAAACCGAGAGAGUGGGGAUACCACCAAAUCAUAUGGGCCCUUUAGGCACGGGCUACACACGUGGUUACAAGGGUCGGUAAGAGGGGUGUCCUACCUCGGAGUGAUCUUAUUCCUCAAACCGAUACGUGAUUCGGAUACUAGAAUGCUGUCA